rnacentral:rRNA from 1 species
CUGAACACGGACCAAGGAGUCUAGAAUGUGCGCGAGUCAAAGGGCUGGCUAAACCCCUAAGCGCAACGAAAGUGAAUGAUGGGAGAAGCGGAGUCAGGCGGUAUAGGGGGUUCGCUCCCUCGUUAUGUAUCUCCGUUUCUCUCUUGGACCGAUCCGGCUUCGACUCUUCGAAAGGGGAGUCGAAUCGCCUCUUUAGAGCUCAUCACGCAGUUCGAAGGAGGACGGCGCAGGUCCGGGGCUCGCCGGCUUCCUUCCCGUCGCUAACGCUAACGCCGUUGCGUUCCGGCGGUCGUUCCUCGGUGGCGUCCUUCCUUCGGCGUCGUCGCUCAGUCGUUCCUCUCGGGGGGCGGCGGCGGCGGCGUCGGGGGAGGUUCAACGCCUCGCCUCGGAGCGGCUACGUUCGGUCGUCGGCUCGCGGACGGGGACGAGCGGCGGGUACCUCGAGCGUAUUUUCUAGUACCCGAAAGAUGGUGAUCUAUGCCUGGCCAGGAUGAAGCCAGAGGAAACUCUGGUGGAGGUCCGUAGCGAUUCUGACGUGCAAAUCGAUCGUCGG